rnacentral:lncRNA from 1 species
GUGGACAUGUCAGGUUAUAAAUGACCCUGUCUCCUUUGUUUGGUGAACUCUCAUGGCAAAACUGCUGGUGAGUGUACCCUUUCUGCAGGAAGUAAAAAUGGCCUUACUAAAUAAAUUUAUGUUCAAGUGCUAUUUCUUUAUGGCACUGGGGAACAAGCAUUUCAAACAAUUUGGUGUCAAUCCGUACAGGGAUACAUUCUCCUCUAGGGGUGGUCUCCAGUCCUCUCUCAUGAGGGAGCAUGCUCCCCUACCUCAUUGAAGGUGCCUCAGGGAUGAGAAAUUGAGACCCACCCAGUGUGGUGAAUAAACCCGGACUCUCAGCAAUGCAAAAAAAUAAAAAAGAAACUGGCCAGCAAUCUAGCUUAAAGGAUCUUCACAUACUGCAGCGACAACUCUGUGCACAGACCAAGGAAGGAGAAGCCGCAGGAGCUGAAGUCUUUCAGCACAGGUACCACCCCUAGAAUUUCCCGUACAUCAGCACCAGCCUGCAAACCACGUCCUCAUCAAAAGCUAGAAAGAAGAAACUCAAGCCAGCCUGGGAAGAACCCUAUUUUAUGCUGUUAACCACUGAGACUGCCAUCUGCACAGCUGAGAAAAAAAAAAAAUUGGACCCACCAUACUCAAGUCAAGAAAACAUCUUCCUCUCAGAAUCAUGGGUUACUGUACUAAGAUCAAGCCCUACUAAGUUAACGUUAAAGAAAGAUUAAUUUUCAUAUACGUUCUAUAUUUCUUCCUUUCCUUUCCUUAUUCUGUUACUAGCUCCUUUAUUAAUAAUAUAACUAAGUCUGACUCACCUAAGUCUGACUCACCUAUUGCCUUUAAUACUUGCUCUGUCAUACCUUGAGGAAAUGUAAAAGAUCAACAACAACUAGCCUUUUCACACAAAUAUUUAUGCCCCAGCACUCUAGUUGACACAGUUACCCCUAGCACUCAUUGUUGUAAUGACCUGCAGCCAAGACGCUGAUCUUCUGCUCCUACCGCCUGGCAACCUUGUAGUAAAUGGGACUACAUCCCUUAAACUACCCAGGAGCAAAGCUGGAUUUCCACGAAAAGGUUUCUGCAGAUCUAAAACCCCUCAUCUAUUUCACUAAAAGGACUACCCCUUCUAACUGUCAGCCUUAUCUAUAUAACCCUGUCCUUCUCUUUAUCACCCCUUCCACCUUAACUAACUCUAGACCUGCCCUUAGUCACUUCUAUGGUAUAAGAAUUGACAUAAAUAGAAAAGACUCCCCGACCCCAGGUAUUUUAAAAAUAUAUAUUAUUCCGCCAUCUUCCCCUUCUUCGGUAGCCUCAGAUCUAGAUCCCACAACAGUUGCUCCUACAUCUAAUAAAGCUAGGGUGUCUAUUGUAAAAAUAAGAGAUCUAAAACAGACCUUAGCCAUCAAGACAAAAUAUCAAGAUGCAAAUGCCUGGCUGAAAUGGACUAAAUAAUCCAUUCGCACUUUAAAUAAAAGCGAUUAUUAUACUUGUACACACCGUAGGCCUGAGGCCCAGAUUAUCCCCUUUCCACUCCGAUGGUCUCCUUGUCGACCAGAUAUGGACUGUAUGGUGGCUGUUUUUCAAAAUCCCACAGCUUGGGAUAAUCCAACAUACUGAGCUCUCUCUGCUAUAUCCUGAAAUUCAACACCCUGCGGGUCAACCCCUGAGGGCAAUCCAGCUUCCACUUCUGAAUGCCAAGUUUACUUCAUGCCUCUCACGGCAGGGGUAAAAUUUAGUGUUCCUUGGAAGCAUAAAAGGAUGCAAGGAGCUUAAGCCUUUCCAAGAGCUUGCCCAUCCGUCCUCCCCACACACAUUUAUGGUGGUACUGUGGAAGACCUUUACUGGACACUCUGCCAAAUAAUUGGAGCAGUACUUGUGCUCUAAUCCAAUUGGCUAUCCCCUUCACCCUGGCAUUUCAUCAAUCUAAAAAGGUAAAAACAAAACACCACAGGCCAAGAAAAACUCUUUAUAAGUCUUUUAAUCCUCAGGUUUACAUAAAUGCUAUUAAGGUCCUGUGAGAAGUGCCAAAUAAGUUUAAAGCACAAAAUGAAACAGCUGCAGAAUUUAAAUGCAUGUUAUUCUGGUAAGUAUUAAAAAAAAGUAGACUAAAUAAACUAUAUCUAUUACAAUCAGCAAUAAUUCAUAAAUUACACUGAGGACACCAUCAAAGAGAUGGCUAAGCAGUUAGGAUCUACCAGCCAGAUGGCCUAGAAAAAUAAAUUUUAAAAAAUAGCUUUAAAUAUAAUAUUAGCAGAAAAAGGAGAUGUUUGUGUCGUAAUUAAAACUCAAUCUUGGAACCUCUGCAGAAAAAAAUUGAUUCCUCGGCAGUGUCAUGAAAGCAAACCAGUUAAUAAAGCUACAAAAUUAAUGGCUCAAUUGUAACACAGUGGUGAUGCGUCUAAUUCCCCACAAAGACCAAUAAAUUAAAUGUCUUAUACAAAACUCAAUAUUGUACCUUUUUUCCUAAUAAUACUGCCCUUGAUGGAACUAUAGCAAAAGCGCUACAAAGGUUAACAGCCCUAUCCAAUAAACUUGCCUCAGGAGGUCCUGACCAGACAUGUGCCCAAGGUGGUCAGAGCACAGUUUGGUUUUACACAUUUUAGGGAGACAUGAGACAUCAAUCAACAUAUGUAAGAUGACCAUUGGUUAGGUCUGGAAAGCCAGGAGGGAGCUUCCAGGUCAUAUACAGAUAAGAAACAGAUGGUUGCAUUCUUUUGAGUUUCUGAUGAGCCUCUCUAAAGGAGGCAAUCAGAUAUGCAUUUAUCUUAGUGAGCUUCAGAUAAUGGGAGGCAGGUUUGGACUAAGCAGUUCCCAGCUUCACUCUUCCCUUUAGCUUAGUAAUUUUGGGGCCCCAAUAUUUAUUUUCCUUUCACAAUGCAUAAGUAUUAGGCCACAGAAACAGCAAAGUCUUAACAGAAAUGGUGAAAUCUUACUAAAGAUAAGUUAUCAUGGAAGGUUCCAAAUAAACAACACUGCACUGAAGAAAUGCAUUUGAAAAAUAGGGCUCCCAAAUUAGUCUCAUCUAGGGAUGUCUAUUGAUAUUCAGAAGCUUCUAAAAAGAUUUCAAUAUUUUUAUUUAAAGAUUUUAUGAAAGGCAAAUAAAAAGCUUAAGAAACUAAUUGAUAAGAAAAAUUAAAUCUGUUAAUCUUUGCUUAGUUACUAUUCCACCCUAAAGGUAGAAAGAAAGCUAUCCUAGAUAAGGUAUUUAUAAAAGUUAAGCCCUCAGGUAAAAUAGACUUGCUUCUUGUUCAGACCUAUCCAUGCGGGAGGCCAGGCAUAGAGGAUGCUUUCUUGGCUCUGUUCCAUAAUGAGUUCCCCCUUGAACUCAGUAAUUUUAACCAAGAGACAGUGGCUACAUUAAAAAGAACACCCUAUUGAAAUAAAAUGCACCUUUCUGGAAUUUAAUUGGCUACUUUGAAACUCUUUUGUAUAAGAAAUUUCCAUCUAUAAAAGAAAUCUCAAUUUUUAAGGAUGUCUGCCUACAUACAAUAGAAACUCUAACCAUUCUUUUAAAUUUAAAUAAUAAGUAAUGCCUUUGUUUAAGGUGCUUUUCUAUCUUAAGUGAACUUUUACUUGAGCAAUUUUUUUUUCUCCUUGAUUUGAACAAAUAAUGAAUCAAUACUUAGGCUGAGAAUCUUAGCUCUGUGCUUAUGAAAUAUACAUCCUUUUUGUUACACCUAAGAGUUGUCCCUUUAGAAAUGCAAAUUUGUUGCUGAGUUAACAAUUGCUUAGGGAAAUGAAACAGGUAAUAGAAAGAUUGAUACACCAAAUGGAGAAAAGAAAAAAGUAUUUUAAAACUGGCAAAAGCUAUAAGAUCUGCUUCUGUUUGUUUGUAUGUCUAUAUGUGUUAUGUGUAUGUGAUAUCUGGUAAAUAAAGAUAGUUUUUAAUUUAUUGGUAAAAUAGAAAUGUCUUCAAAAUUAUCAGUUGAAUAUAAUUAGAUACCCACUUGAUUUGACUGUGAGCUUAUGUCUUUGGUUUAGAGUCUCUGGAUUCAGGGGUCUGGAUAGGUGGCCAUGAUGACAUCUGGAGACACGUUCUUAGAGUCUAGACCACCAGCUACAAGCCCAAUAUGGCCUCUUCCUCCUCUGCUUUCCCUGUUUUGCCUCCUGGCUAUUGUGGGAGCGGUUGGAUCCUCCAAGUAUAGUCUUCACAGCUCUGGCUUCUGUCCUGAUGGACUCAGGCCCCGAUGUUCAUAGUCCUCAUGGGGGGCACAUGGCUUCUUGGGACUUAGAAUGACUGGGAAGAGACAUUAGGGAGGCUGCCUGUGUCAUAGCUUCAAAAUUCUUUUCAGUAAUUUAAAAUCCUAGAGUCAUGUUAUGUUUAAUUAAGUAAUAAAAAAAUUCACAAAAUGAGUCGUGUUCAAGUUAAGAUACUGAAAUAUUCAUUAUUACACAUGCAUUUAAGUCUAUAUACCUUGACAUAUUAUUUCUAUAUAGUAUAGAAAAGUAAAUAUAUUUAGAUCUGAUAAUAAAAAAUAAUUUGAAGAACUAUCUCUCUAAAAAAUUAUAAAAUGCUUUUUAUCUACAAAUAACUGAUAUGAAACAGUUCAAAAUUACUUUCUAGAGUUUUCACUAGAAAUAAGGGUUACUAACAGUUAAAAACUACUGUCAGAAGUGUUUGAACCUGAGCAAAUCCAUCUUGAAUAAGGGCUUCGUAAAAUGAGGCUAAGACCUACUGGGCUGCAUUCCCAGAAAAUUAAGUCAUUCUCAGUCACAGGAUGAGAAAGAGGUUGGCACAAGAUACAGGUCUUAAAGACCUUGCUGAUAAAACAGCUUGCAGUAAAGAAGCUAAGACCCACCAAAACCAAGAUGGUGAUGAGAGUGAUCUCUGGUUGUCCUCACUGCUACACUCCCAUUAGCACCAUGACAGUUUACAAAUGCCAUGGCAACAUCAGGAAGUUACCCCAAUAACCCUCUGUUGGGUCCUGGAUUGGGACUCCUUUCCUGUAGCAUCUUUCUGGUGACCACUAAAGGGACUAUAGUGCAGAAAACCCCCACCCAAAAGAUAACUGGUAAGUGGUAGGGGCCAGUAAUAUCUUUCUGGUGAACACUGAGGGGACAAUACUGAAGAAACCCCCUGACCCAAAGGAAAUAGACUACAGCACUGAUUGGCCAACUUUGGGUAAGUGGUGGGGUACCCAGGUAAAGGGUGGAAUUGGGUUAGAGGCCAAACUUAGGGGAGUCAGAGUCUCUCCUAAGACAGAGUGGGUUAGCGCACACUUGAUAAAAGGCAAGGACACUUUACCCACCUUGGGUUAAAGGCCCAGCUUAGGAGGGUUAGAGUCCCUCUGAAGAUUUAAGGAGUUAGAAGCCUGUUUCAGUAAAGUCCCUUUUGGCUAAGAAUGGGUUUGGUAUUAUGAGAUGUUAACUGCUAUUCUCUUUGGAUUAAUCAGCCUUGAACUCUUUGCUGACGUCUGUGGGCAUGUAUAGAAUUGUGGGACAUGGGGAGCUUUCUCCUCCUUAAAAGGGGAAACUCAAGAGCUCGUGAGACUGCUGGAAAAUAGCCCUUUGCUACUGACAAGCAGCCGCCUGAAAUUUUCAGUGUCACUGCAAUGGGUGCAUCUUUCUCUGGCUUCCCUGAGCACCUCACCUUCCCCACCCUGCCUCAAGCAAUGCUUCCUCUCUCUCUCUGUCUCUCUCUCUCUCUUUCUUUCUCUCUCUCUCUCUGUGCAAACUGGUUGAAUGAAUGGUAAAAAGCAUUGUUUAUCUCCUCUGUAAAGUUUAGAUUAAUGGAAAACAGGAUUUGUGAGGCUAGUCCUAAGCUAUAGUGAAUCUGGCGUGCUUUGUGUGUCUUUCUGUAUUGUUCUGCCAUAAAGAGCGGUAUGGUAGGAUGGAACAUGGGCUUAGGACACCAGUAAGCCCACUGUUCAAGAUGGCCCAGCAAACUGGUCAGUUAUAAAUUUUGCGGCAGGUCCCUAAAAACAAAACUGGAUGAGAUUUCCCUCUUGUCUUGUAUAUCUUGGGGAGCCUGACCUUGCAGCCAUGUAGUGAUACUUUCUCUUUUCACAGUGGUGGCCCAGGUUCAGGGUUCAAUUCCUGGCUUAGGGAAUGAGUCCUUUAUCUUAUUUUGUCUGUGUAUUUAUAUAUGUUGUGUGUGUAAUUUAAAAGAGCUUUAAUUAAAUGGUUUAAUAAUAAGAGCUUACAUCAAAUACUUGAUCAGAAAAGUAAAACGUGUAAUAUCUUUUAUUUAGUUCACAUGAUUUAAGUAAUCUUUGGGAUAUAAAGACAGUUUUAAAGAUUAUUGGUAAAAUAAAAAUCUUUAAAAUGUAAACAUUUGGUCUAAAUUAUGUGGGUCAGAUAUUAGGUUUUCUAAGUGAUUUAAGGUCAUAAACUGCUUCUUUGACUUUUGAAAAUUGUUCAUUUUACCUACUUUGGAGCUUUGGAUUCUAGAUAAGCCCUAGAACCAUGUGGAGCUAGCCACACUCACUAGCUAUGCUGGAAAGAGUCGGAUCUUAUCUGCACUUCUGUCUGGGUCCUAGGCUCCACACCUGGUACAUAGUUCAAAUCACUUACUAACCAGGUUUUUCACCAAAAAUAAAAGUUGCUAAGAGUUAACAUUGUAUGCACUCCAGCCUGGCAACAAAGCAAGACUCUGUCUGAAAAAAAAAAAAAAGAGUUGACAUUAUAACAUGUAAUUGAGACUACUGAAGAAACAGCUUUAUGUUCAAGGUGUGUAAGGAAAGUAGAAUGUACAUUUGAUAAAAGAUUAUAAGAAGGCAUGGGAAUAUGGAUUUCUUCCCUAAGUUUAGAGAGUUAAAGGACUGUUUUAAGUUAGGAUAAAGCUGAAGGGUUAAGCAAGUUGUUAAAGGUCUGUGAAAUAUCAAUCUCAUAGAAGAAAUUAUCUGUGUGAACAUAUUGACUAAAAUUAAAGGGAUGAUAUUCAGUUUUUUGAUAAAUUGAACAUUGGAAUAAAAGCACAACAGGUUUUUCUUAGAGCAAAAACCUGCUUAUAAUCUGCUGUUUAACCAAAAUUUUUAAAUGGUUAUAAAAGGUUUAUUAAAAUCUUACCUCAUGGUCAAACUGAUUAAGAUUAAAUACAUUUGUCUAUAAGGUUUUAUUAAGAUUUGGGUUUAACAUAAAUAGUACAUUAAUGUAAAGGUGAAAUUUGGCUUAUUGGGUACAAAAAUCAUGCAGGAAGUACUGCCAAAUAUGAAAUGGUGUUUGGCUUUCUUUGGGCUAUAUUUGAAUAAAUAUGUUUUUGGUAUGUAAUCCAAAAUAAUGGGAAACUCCUAUAAUUCUGAUAUGACAGUAUAUGUUAUUAAUAAUUAUAAUCAUUAUAUAAAUUUUUGUAUGCCACAAAAAUAACCAAAUUUCCUUAUCACUUGUGGCUUUAAUAGUGGCUGUCCUAAGACUUUUUAUAAUCCACAUACAAUUGUUGUCUUGUUUUGGUCCUCUUUAAAAGGUGGUUUUAUAAUCAACUAUAGGACUUUAACAGGUGCAUUUAAAUGGAGAUUUUCUGAUAACUUUGGAGAUUGUGACAUUAGAAUAGAGAAAACUUUCAGAACUCUCAUAGCUGAAAUGUUCAUGAAUAUCAAACAGAACUGCAUGGACUGAAGUAAUGGAAGCUAUUUAUAGCUUUUAACAAUUGAAUAUAUGCCUGUGAACCAAAUUUGAAGCAUAUUUGUUUCUCUCUACCUAAUUUCCCCAAAAUUUGGAAACUAUUUGUGAGUAUUCUUAAUUUAUGGCAAUAUAAUUAUUUGCAUAAGUGCAAUACAAAUCUGUUUUAUUUUCCAUCAGGACAAAAUUGGAGAAACUGGUUAUUUUAUGGAGGCUUUAACUGGAAUAGCAUGCUUUCCUUUAAGGAAUCAAAUUUGACUUGUGGAGCCAAUGAAAGCCCCUUGAGGAACCGGCCUCAGGCUUUGCCUACACAGUCCCUGUACAGGGUUUCUGCCCUGUGAACCCAAAGACUGGCUCUUCUGAGAACAUCAGAAAGACUGCCCUGGCUAUCCACGUUGAAGCAAAACUUUGGGACUUUUAACCUUGCGUUCAUAAUCUCACAACUCAGUAGGGUCCCUCCGCACUGUUGGAACUGCAUACCUAUUGGAAACCUUCAGGUAAAGCUAAUCAGGGAAGUUUCUCCCCGAAAGAAGAUGGCAUCCAUGAUGUGAACAACUUUUUCUGAAGAUCAUGGAGCAAGACUUCUCUACUAUCAUACAACCCCUAUCUUUCAAUUUUUUUCCUUAUCUAUCCAUUUUUUUCCUAUGUUUAUGCCUCUAUGAACAAUAGAAGUGAAAAGGGGAUCUGUUGUGUGCACUCAUAGGGUUACAAUUUUAUUUGUGAAGGAUUUUGCAGCCAGUCUUAUACAUGGAUAACCUUAAACCUUGAUAGAUGGAAGAUAAAGACCCAAUGUAUGUGAGAAAUUUUAAUGGUACAUACAUAACCUCAUAGUCAGUCAGAAACAGAACAUUGGUCCACUCCUCUUAACCUACAUCAUGUGUUAAAGAGAAUAUUGCCAGAUGAUCUUCACCCUUCUAGAAGGGCUUCAUUCGUUAGGUCCUUUUUUCCAUGUAUUGGAGUAAAUGAGGCAAUUUAUCCCUCAUGAUAGGCUCUGUAGGAGAUCCUACUAUAAAGGCUGUGACUACACAACAGACUUGAAAUUAUCUUGUGAAAGUUAUGCUAAAUAAUAGAAUUGCUCUAAGUUACUUACUGGCUAAACAGAGAAGUAUCUGGCACUUCUUGUUGCCCAUGGAGAAACUUAUCACAUGGGAUAGUAUAAAGAAUCAGUUAUAAGGGAUUAUCGAAGAGACUACUUAAUUGAAGUGAGUAGACUCUUUGUCUAGCUCAUUCUUUGAUCUAUUUGAUUUUAGUUGGUUUGGUUUAAGGGGACCCUGGCUAAGGAACAUACUGCAAACUCUUGGUGUUAUUCUCCUGAUAGUCAUCAUAGUAGUCUCCCUGGUACACUGUAUUCUUGCAAAAUUUUAAAUGUUUGCAGGCAGCUAUCUCUAGAAGUCAAAUGGUCUCUCUUCAAUUGGAAUAACAAGAGCUGAAAGAAAUGUGUGAACAUAAGCGCACCAUAACCUCUGAAUUACAUGCUGAGAUCAGAAACUCAAAAUGAUGGUAACUGAGAGUGGUGCUGAGGCCCUAAAUUUUGGUCACACUCUCACCUAAGUAAGAACCUGACCAGAAUGGGGCACUUUCAGGGGAGGCCAUUGUUUUGGUCUGAGCUCAUGCACUAGGCCCCAGCAGAACAGACCAAAAUAAAAUGAAGUCACUUAUGCUGAAUGUGACAUAAUCAAACUAAGACUUUAAGGAAACACAUAGAUCCUAGAACAGAUCAGGUUUUGUUUUUUCCUGUACACAGGACAUUUCAGGAUAAGGAGGUACCCUCUACACAACUCUUGCAAAAAACAAUCUAAAGUCCUUGUUUCCACCUGCAAAACACACUGUUCUGCUAUUUCCCAUUGAGUUUCAAGAUGAAAUAAGUACAUUUACAAUGAUGAUAGUGACAUCAAUGACUACAGUUUUGGUCAUCCUCUCAAACUCAAAAUAAUUCACAAAUCAUUAUUGCCCAAUUAAAACUUUUAAAUUUAAUUUGGCUAAAGCUUUUAUUUUAAUAAUGUAUAAAAUGUGAAUAAAAAUAGUACAUACCCUAUAGGAUUGUCAUGAACCUUAAAAAGUAUGCUAAAUGUAUGUUAAACAGACAAGUGCCUGAUUCUUGGUAAACACUAUGUUCUGAUUUAUGGUUGCUAUUAUUUUUAUAAUUGUUUAUACCAGAUUGAAAGAAUAAAUUAUUAAGAGAAAAACUUUGGCUGAAUUAAAUUUAAGAGAGUUUAAUUGAGCAAAGAUCAAUUCGUGAAUCGGGCAGCCUCCCAAGCCAGAGUAGGUUCAAAGACUCUAGCAAAGUCACGUGACAGAAGAAGAUUUAUGGACAGAAAAAGGAAAGUGAUAUAUAGAAAACGGAAGUGAGGUACAGAAACAGCCAGAUUGGCUACAGCUCAGCAUUUGCCUUAUUUGAACACAGUUGGAACAGUUGGCUACCUUUGAUUGGUCAAAACUCAAUGAUUGGCACAAGAGCUGCUACAGUCUAUUUACAACUUGAUAUGGUUUGGCUGUGUCCUCACCCAAAUCUCAUCUUGAAUUGUAGCUCCCAUAAUUUCUACUUGUUGUGGGAGGGACCUGGUGGGAGAUAAUUGAAUCAUGAGGGUGGUUUUUCCCAUACUGUUCUCAUGAUAAUGAAUAAGUCUCAUAAGAUGUGAUUAUUUUGUAAGAGGUUUUCCUUUUUGCUUGGCUCUCUCAUUCUGUCUUAUUUGUCACCAUGUAAGAUGUGCCUUUUGCCUUCCACCAUGAGUAUGAGGCCUCCCCAGCCACAUGGAACUGUGAC